GACGAACGCUGGCGGCGUGCCUAAUACAUGCAAGUAGAACGCUGAAGGAGGAGCUUGCUUCUCUGGCUGAGUUGCGAACGGGUGAGUAACGCGUAGGUAACCUGCCUGGUAGCGGGGGAUAACUAUUGGAAACGAUAGCUAAUACCGCAUAAUAGUAGAUGUUGCAUGACAUUUGCUUAAAAGGUGCAAUUGCAUCACUACCAGAUGGACCUGCGUUGUAUUAGCUAGUUGGUGGGGUAACGGCUCACCAAGGCGACGAUACAUAUCCGACCUGAGAGGCUGAUCGGCCACACUGGGACUGGAGCACGGCCAAGACUCCUGCGGGAGGCAGCAGUAGGGAAUCUUCGGCAAUGGACGGAAGUCUGACCGAGCAACGCCGCGUGAGUGAAGAAGGUUUUCGGAUCGUAAAGCUCUGUUGUAAGAGAAGAACGAGUGGGAGAGUGGAAAGUUCACACUGUGACGGUAUCUUACCAGAAAGGGACGGCUAACUACGUG
rnacentral:rRNA from 1 species